UAAAACCAGCACCUCAAGUGGUCAGGAUGAUUAUUGGGCCUAAAGCAUCCGUAGCCGGCUCUGUAAGUUUUCGGUUAAAUCUGUACGCUCAACGUACAGGCCGCCGGGAAUACUGCAAAGCUAGGGAGUGGGAGAAGUAGACGGUACUCGGUAGGAAGUGGUAAAAUGCUUUGAUCUAUCGAUGACCACCUGUGGCGAAGGCGGUCUACUAGAACACGUCCGACGGUGAGGGAUGAAAGCUGGGGGAGCAAACCGGAUUAGAUAUCCGGGUAGUCCCAGCUGUAAACGAUGCAGACUCGAUGAUGCAUUGGCAUAAUAGCCAGUGCAGUGUCGCAGGGAAGCCGUUAAGUCUGCCGCCUGGGAAGUACGUACGCAAGUAUG
rnacentral:rRNA from 1 species